CCAACUUUGCACUGGUCUCGAGUCCCAGGUGAAAAGUGCUAGCACUUGGACCCAAAAAAUCGAGACACACACUCUCCUGUUCACGUAAGAUCCAUCCCAAACAAAACUAAACCGAUCGGACGUAACACACGAAACGAAGAUAUAAAACGGUAUCGUGAAAGCUUUUCUAAAAAGUGUUCACGAGUAAAGACAAUAGAGGAUGUUUUUCAUCGGCUUCUGGUAACUUCUGAUCCAUACAUUCCGAGUAUCAGAAAACUUCUAACAAAAAAACUAAAGAGUUUGUCGAAGGAAGCAAUAGAGCUAUUACUCCCGCCUCAAAUUUCAAUGACCUCUGGUAACAACAUGGAAGUCGAUUCGGAUGUCGGUUCUGAAUCUGAAGAUUCCGAAAACGAUGAUUCCGAUGAUUAUUAGCUGUAGGAUCAAUACAAAUAUUUUUCAUUCCAUUUAUCAAUAUUUUGGAUCCAUUAUUCUUUCAAUUACAUGACAAGUAAAUUUGAUCGUAUUAAGAUCAUAGGUAAGAAUAAAUUUCUUUAAUUGAAGGAUCCUUGUUAUCAUCAUCAUCAUCAUCAUCAUCAUCAUCAUUAUUAUUAUUAUUAUAUAAUAUAAAAAUCAUGUUCUAAGUGGGUUAGUGUUGUAAAUAUUUGCUUCAAAUCCUUUACAUACUGUUUUAUCAAAAUUAGGAAAAAUUUUAAUGUCUCUCAUCGCCAUGUUAGAUCCGCCAUUUUGGUAGGAUAAUUUUUGACUUCAAAUCCGUAAUCAGCGACCUCGAAAACCCCCGCGUAGAGAUUUUAGUCGAAUUUAACGUAGUUUUGAGGUUUUGGCCACGAUUUGGGGAUUUGGUCGCACUGUGCACCGCGCGCCAGUGAGAAUCGAUUGUGUGCGUGCAAUAUAAUUCACGCGGGACCCGUAUGCGUGUAAGUGACCGACUGCAACGCACCAGGUAGUGGAGCGGACGGUCCGUGAUAGUCUAAGAGCCAGUGGGCGGCUACCUGCAUGUAUUUGACCAGACCUGGGUUUUUGUACAUUGAGGCCCCUAUACCUACCAUACAUGAGGUGGGGACCCACUAAGCCCAAAGCGGUGGACCCAGGUACUGCGCAGGUGAGACAGAUAAAAAUGACAACUUCUAUCGCGGCGUAAAGUUGACGAUUCCGCUCAAAGUUUCGAUUCCAAUAUGGGGAAUCUGGUCCAGUCGAAGUGGCAUUUAAGAAAAUCCACCGGAUGAAGAGCGAUCGAGAAAGACUGAAAACUCAAUCCUGCGUUCGCUAUGACAAGGGCAAAAUUUGCUUUAUUGUCGAAUCUAUUUAAUAAAUGUAUGUACACCAGUCG